GAGGGUAGAGCUCAGUGGUAGAGCCCAUGCUUAGCAUGCACAAGGUCCUGGGUUCAAUCCCCAGUCCCUCCA
rnacentral:tRNA from 1 species